rnacentral:lncRNA from 1 species
AGCCAAAAUCAAAAUUUAGAAUAUGACCUUAACCUUUGACCUUGACCUCAUUUUCAUUUUUUUGGACCAAUGACCUCAAAUCUAAAGACCCUUGGUCUCUAUCACUUAUGGUUUACCAUUUAGAAAUGCAUAUCACUUAAUUCAAAUGAAAAUGGGGAAUAACUCUCAUAUGGAGUCUCCGUAAAGCUUCGGUCCAAAUGAAUAUCCUAAUCCUUAAGAUGUAACGAGCAAUUUGGUAAAAUAAAUUUGUCGUUAUCUUUUACGGUUGCGAAGGAAUAGUGGCCACAAGAAAAACAGUGUUUAGGGAGAUAACUCUUACAAGGUUAAGUACUUUGUUACGCGGUUGUCAUUUUUUAAAGCGUAUAAACUAUACGAUAUCAUAUUCCAAAUAUCUAAGCGAGAUCUUUUGAAACAACAAAACUACGCAAGAAAAAAAUUUAGGCGGAAGAAGAAAAAUAAUAAUAAUCAGAACAAAACCUAUAGGUCUUUCCACGGAAAAGUGGAAAGACCUAAUAAUAAUAAUAAU